rnacentral:rRNA from 1 species
GUGUCAGCAGCCGCGGUAAGACAGAGGUGCCAAGCGUUAGGCGGAAUCACUGGGCUUAAAGCGUGUGUAGGCGGGUCGUUAAGUACCUUGUGAAAUCCCACGGCUCAACCGUGGAACUGCUUGGUAUACUGGCGAUCUUGAGCCACUUAGGGGUUACCGGAACAAACGGUGGAGCGGUGAAAUGCGUAGAUAUCGUUUGGAACGCCAAUGGUGAAAACAGGUAACUGGGAGUGCGCUGACGCUGAGACACGAAAGCCAGGGGAGCGAACGGGAUUAGAUACCCCCGUAGUCC